CCCUUAGAUGUUCUGGGCUGCACGCGCGCGACAAUGACGUUUGCAACGAGAUACGAGACCGAAAGGUUAAGUUGAUCUAGCAAGCUGCGUCGUGAUAGGGACUGUCGAUUGCAAUUAUUCGACACGAACGAGGAAUGCCUAGUAAGCGCAAGUCAUCAGCUUGCGUUGAUUACGUCCCUGCCCUUUGUACACACCGCCCGUCGCUCCUACCGAUUGAAUGGUCCGGUGAAGCGUUCGGACCGUGGCCUUUGGACGGUUCGCCGUCUGUUGGCUGCGGGAAGUUCGUUAAACCUUNUNAUUUAGNGGAAGGAGAANUCGUANCA
rnacentral:rRNA from 1 species